UGGGGGUGAAAAAUUAUCCAAGCCUAAUGGUUUUGCUGAAGUUGAUAUCAUAGAAGAACUUUUGAUUCUUGAUUUUGAUAACUCAAUUGAUAUCAUAGUGUCUAGCACAUAUCCAAACCUACAAAAUUAUUACAAGGAUGAACUAUUUAUGCAAUCUAGGUGAUGUGAACCUCCUGCGGAUGGUUUGCUUUCUUUGCCGAUCAUUCUUGUCUGAAACUUAAUUUGACUCACAUAAUAACAUUUUUUUUAAUGUCUACGUUUUGUUUAUGAUUAUAGGUGAAAUGUGAAUGGAAUUCGUGUUUGGGCUGAAGUGGUGUUUAUUUUUUGUUUAUGAAUUUUUAUGUGUUUGUGUUGGAUAAAAGAAAGUGGAAAGGGAUGAAGAUGAAAACGCCACAAGCAAAGUAGCUUAAUAAGCCAAGGAGGUUCGCCAUAAGGAAGAAUCUUUGAUAAGGCCACGGUUAAGGCGUCACACCAAUGGUGAUAAGCCUAUGAACACCACAAGAACUAGUCUUGAUAAGUUCUAAGUUAGGAGCAAAUCUCAACUAAAGAGGAGUUAAUCCAAACAAAAUUCAACGUGAUUCAUUCAUGUUGAAAAGAAAUAUAUAAAUAGGGAAAUUCUGAAUUGACUAUGCCUAAUUUUGAAAUUUGAAAUCCUAAUUAAUACAUGUAAUUAAAUGAGUUUAAUCGUUGAGUUAUUUUGGCACUUGAGUUGGCAGAAUUCCUUGAAGCUUUCAGCCAUGUGUUUAUUUGUUUUGGGAAAAUUGAAUGUGUCUUGCUAGGUUGAGUUGUUGUGGACGAAUUCCUUAAGGAAAAUGCUUGAAAAUGAAAGUUCAUAAGUUCUUGGAUCUUCAUGUUUUUUAAUUCAAAUUGGAGUAGCUGAUUGCCUUUGGAUACUUGCAAAUCUGAAUGGAUGCCUAAGGCUUCACACGCCCCUUUUGAAUGAAAAGGCUUUAUUACUUUUCUUUCUUGGAUGAACCUUGAAUGCUUUGAAUGAGACUUCAGUAGUUUCCAUUCUGGAAUGAUCCUUGUCUUGAAUGCCUUGGAUUACACGUCUAACAUAUGUUUAAAUCAAACAAGGAAGGUAUUUAUUCAUUUAAUUCCCUUCCAAUCUGAAUUAAUCCCAUAAGGCAAGGUUUUGAAAUCGCCUCUUACUUUAAUUCACACGCCAUUCCAAUAAGGAGUGUAUCUAUGGGCAUUCAUUCUCUUAAAGCAUCAUGACCCCAAUAAGG
rnacentral:lncRNA from 1 species